GUUUCAAUCCCUUUUAGGUAGGCUAAAAAC
rfam:Thermoanaerobacter tengcongensis MB4, complete genome.